UAACUAGAAAUAUAGCUUGCAGUAACUCAGAUGCAUGAUCAAAGGCUACCCAGCCACCCUGUUUGCAAUAUGGGAUUCCUCUGACAUUGCUCUGUUACUGCUCUACCUGUC